CCUACGGGGAGCUGCAGUGGGGAAUAUUGCGCAAUGGGCGAAAGCCUGACGCAGCGACGCCGCGUGAGGGAUGAAGGUCUUCGGAUCGUACACCUCUGUCAGCAGGGAAGAACGGUCACUGUGCUAAUCAGCAGUGAAUUGACGGUACCUGCAAAGGAAGCACCGGCUAACUCCGUGCCAGCAGCCGCGGUAAUACGGAGGGUGCGAGCGUUAAUCGGAAUUACUGGGCGUAAAGCGCUCGUAGGCGGUAGGUCAAGUCAAGGGUGAAAUCCCCGCGCUCAACGUGGGAACUGCCGUUGAAACUGGCAAACUGGAGUGUGUGAGAGGAUAGUGGAAUUCCAGGUGUAGGAGUGAAAUCCGUAGAUAUCUGGAGGAACAUCAGUGGCGAAGGCGACUAUCUGGCACAUAACUGACGCUGAGGAGCGAAAGCGUGGGUAGCAAACAGGAUUAGAUACCCCAGUAGUC
rnacentral:rRNA from 1 species